CGUAACAAGGUCUCCGUAGGUGAACCUGCGGNNNNAUCAUUACACAAAUAUGAAGGCGGGCUGGAACCUCUCGGGGUUACAGCCUUGCUGAAUUAUUCACCCUUGUCUUUUGCGUACUUCUUGUUUCCUUGGUGGGUUCGCCCACCACUAGGACAAACAUAAACCUUUUGUAAUUGCAAUCAGCGUCAGUAACAAAUUAAUAAUUACAACUUUCAACAACGGAUCUCUUGGUUCUGGCAUCGAUGAAGAACGCAGCGAAAUGCGAUAAGUAGUGUGAAUUGCAGAAUUCAGUGAAUCAUCGAAUCUUUGAACGCACAUUGCGCCCUUUGGUAUUCCAAAGGGCAUGCCUGUUCGAGCGUCAUUUGUACCCUCAAGCUUUGCUUGGUGUUGGGCGUCUUGUCUCUAGCUUUGCUGGAGACUCGCCUUAAAGUAAUUGGCAGCCGGCCUACUGGUUUCGGAGCGCAGCACAAGUCGCACUCUCUAUCAGCAAAGGUCUAGCAUCCAUUAAGCCUUUUUUUCAACUUUUGACCUCGGAUCAGGUAGGGAUACCCGCUGAACUUAAGCAUAUCA
rnacentral:rRNA from 1 species